rnacentral:rRNA from 1 species
UGGGGAAUAUUGGACAAUGGGCGAAAGCCUGAUCCAGCCAUGCCGCGUGUGUGAAGAAGGUCUUCGGAUUGUAAAGCACUUUAAGUUGGGAGGAAGGGCAGUAAGCGAAUACCUUGCUGUUUUGACGUUACCGACAGAAUAAGCACCGGCUAACUCUGUGCCAGCAGCCGCGGUAAUACAGAGGGUGCGAGCGUUAAUCGGAUUUACUGGGCGUAAAGCGUGCGUAGGCGGCUGAUUAAGUCGGAUGUGAAAUCCCUGAGCUUAACUUAGGAAUUGCAUUCGAUACUGGUCAGCUAGAGUAUGGGAGAGGAUGGUAGAAUUCCAGGUGUAGCGGUGAAAUGCGUAGAGAUCUGGAGGAAUACCGAUGGCGAAGGCAGCCAUCUGGCCUAAUACUGACGCUGAGGUACGAAAGCGUGGGGAGCAAACAGG